ACAUUGAGAAAAUCUACCACAGCUGCCCAUUAAGAUGUUGACACUGAUAAGGUCUAAGAUGCUGCAAUCCCUGCUUCCUGUCUGCUCAAUGCUCUACGCUCAGAAUUUAGAACAGCACCUGGCAUAUGCUCUUGCGAUGCUCACAAUAUCAGUGACAUUUGGGGUCAGCUUGGCAAAAAAAGGAAUCUGAACAGCUUGCCUAACCCAGCGGCAGAUGUUCCGCACCAGCUCUGGAUCCUGUUCAAAUAGGCAAGCCAGCUGCUGACUAAUCAUCACAGCCAAGGGUGUCAAGGAAAGGAAACAUGGCGAGGUUACCCCAUUUUGGGGAGUUUAUUACAACUAUACAUGGAAAAAUAAAAAAGUAAGUGAAAUGUUUUUGGUAAAGGAAGGGCUAGGCCUCUGGGGAUUGGGACACCAUAAAUCAUUUUGUAAGACAUACAGCAGCUCUAAAGAGCAGCUCCUGUUUUCUUGUUGUUACUUUAGGAAUGGGUGUCUAUUGUUUUAAGGAUUAAAAACUCUGCAAUACGAAUACAAAAAAAAAAAAAAAA
rnacentral:lncRNA from 1 species